AAUAUUGGACAAUGGGGGCAACCCUGAUCCAGCCAUGCCGCGUGUGUGAAGAAGGUCUUCGGAGUGUAAAGCACUUUAUGUUGGGAGGAAGGGCUUUAGGUCACUACCCUGAAGUUUUGACUUUACCAUCAUAAUGAGCACCGGCUAACUCUGUGCCAGUAGCCGGGGUAAUAACGAGAGUGCAAGCGUUAAUCGGAAUUACUGGGCGUAAAGCGCGCGUAGGUGGUUCAGUAAGAUGGGUGUGAAAACCCCGGGCUUAACCUGGGAACUGCUUGCAUAACUGCUGGGCUAGAGUACGGUAGAGGGUAGUGGAAUUUCCUGUGUAGCGGUGAAAUGCGUAAAUAUAGGAAGGAACACCAGUGGCGAAGGCGACUACCUGGACUGAUACUGACACUGAGGUGCGAAAGCGUGGGGAGCAAAC
rnacentral:rRNA from 1 species